rnacentral:rRNA from 1 species
AUUGAACGCUGGCGGCAUGCUUUACACAUGCAAGUCGGACGAGUCGCGCACGGGUGAGUAACGCAGCGGAACGUACCGAGUAAUGGGGGAUAACUACUGGAACCGGUAGCUAAUACCGCAUACCAUCAGAUGUGCCCAGAUGGGAUUAGCUAGUAGGUUGGGUAACGGCUCACCUAGGCGACGAGCCCUAGCUGGUCUGAGAGGAUGACCAGCCACACUGGAACUGAGACACGGUCCAGACUCCUACGGGAGGCAGCAGUGGGGAAUAUUGCACAAUGGGCGCAAGCCUGAUACAGCCAUGCCGCGUGUGUGAAGAAGGCCUUCGGGUUGUAAAGCACUUUCAGCGGGGAGGCGUUACCCGCAGAAGAAGCACCGGCUAACUCCGUGCCAGCAGCCGCGGUAAUAC